UCCAUUCCGAAGUUGUAGUUUGUUUUGACAUUUCCGUUUUAUUUAACCUAACCUAUGUUUUGUGUUUUAUUGUGUUGUAUACAAGGAGUUGUAUAUUGAAAUUGAAUUGAUUCUUGUUUCAUUGAAUAUAGAGGAGUUGUUCUGUUGCAAGUUGUUCUAGUUUUGUUGUUUUAAAAUCUGCGAAAAACUAUUUAUAGAUAAUGGUGAACUUAAACAAGAAAUGGACAUGCAGUUUGCUGAUUACUUAAUUGUGUACUCACAACACAUAGGAUUUCUCUGACACAGUUUCCAGUACAGAACUGCCACAGGAAUCUCCAGUGGAGUUGCAACCGCUCUCACGGACGUCCACAAAUCAAGUUACAAAACUGUUACAUGACUCUAUUGGAGUUGCAACUGCAAUUGGAUAAAAGUGAAAUUCGAAUAAUGCCAGAAAGACUAUAACCGUCCAAAGUGAUAGUGUGAAAUUAAAAUCAAAUGAUUACGUAUAAAUCAUAUUUAUAAUAAUUAUAAAUAGUAGCUGUAUUUUUUAAAUAAACAGAUUUGAUAAGUUA
rnacentral:lncRNA from 1 species